rnacentral:rRNA from 1 species
UAAUCGACUCUCGACAACGAAUAUCUCGGCUCUCGCAUCGAUGAAGAACGUAGCGAAAUGCGAUACUUGGUGUGAAUUGCAGAAUCCUGUGAACGAUCGAGUCUUUGAACGCAAGUUGUGCUCGAAGCCAUUAGGUUGAGGGCAUGUCUGCCUAGGCGUCUCACG